rnacentral:sRNA from 1 species
AAAAUUACGGUGUUAAUUUUUUGUUAGUUUUCUCUGUUAUGUCUAAACGAUAUUAGUUUACUGUACACUACGAUGUCGUUUUAUCGAUUGAAAAUAGACAAAAUUCCUAAAUCGAAACUCAUUUAGCUUUUAGAGAUUGAAUGAGAUCAAGGUGGAUAAAGUAGCUUAACCUUGAUCCCAAAACUCUAUAGCGUCGAUGGCUGGCUUUAUUUCUAAUUGUAUCGCCGUUUAUCUCUUUGGCGAUUAUAGGCUAACUUUUGUUCCGGUUUGAUGAACUGCAACUUGAAAAUUGAAAAGUUGUCUAUUGAAAAAGAAAAUGAAAAAAAAUUACAA